CUCUAAGUGUACCUAUACACAUCUAUAUAUUAUAUAUAAAUAAGGUUAAAAUAUAAAAUUUCAUAUAAAAGUUAGAAUUUCUAUACAGUAUGAGUCGAACGAUGUUCCUUGGCUUACUAAAUCUAUCCUUUCCAAAUAAUUAUCAUAUAAAUCAAUUUGUCUCUAUGUAAAAAUUCAUUUCCUACUCAAUUGUAUCAAUGGGUGGUGACCACACUCUAUUUUUUAAUGUCUCCACGAGUUUGUUUUCAAUAAAAUGUGUUGUAUUGAAAAAAAAAAAGUGUUUAACUCAAUUUUCUCUAGAAAAAAAUGAGCUUUUCCCAUCUUUCUAAGAUCUUUGCUAGGUGCCAAUGUGUGUGCAAUAAAGCUCAUAUACAAGUGUCCCAGGUUGGCACAUAUGUGCGAUAUCUAAUCUAUCCAUUAGGUUGGUCCUACCUUCAAUAUGUUUUCCCAAAAAGAAGAUCUGGUCUAGUCUCCAUGUGGGCCACAACAUUGUAAAUAGGGGAAUGGGUUAGAAAAUUUCAACAAAGAUUUUCAGCACUGUAGAUUUGUUUUGCAUACUUUGGCCCACUGGUCUAGUGGAUCAACUUGAUUCUUGGAUAGGGCGUCAAUAUACAUGCAUAAUAACUUGAGAUUAUGUGCAUGGCAUGUGUGACAUACAUGAAGUGAAGAAGGAAGAGAGAUGGGCAAGGAGAGUCCUAUUGAGGAAAGAGAUACUCGUCAAGCUUUUGAAAACGAGAUUUUUUUUUUUUUUGAAGGUUAAAAAGUACGAGAUGAUGAGUUGUUAAGUUAUAAAAUGCAUUUCUUUUGGGAAAAAAUCCCUUCUAUACCCUGUAGUUCCUACUACCAAAACUAACUACAAGGGUAAUAUUGUCUAAGGUUGCUUUUUGUGGGUAAAUUCUAAACCGUUUUCAGGAUUUUGAAGGUAAGGUCUGAACUAUACAUCGGAUAUGUUAGUAACAAUUAUUUAUUUAUUUAUUUAUUAUUAUUUUUUUGUUCUGAAAAAUAUCCAUA